rnacentral:miRNA from 1 species
UGAAUAAUACAUGGAUAACCUCU